rnacentral:piRNA from 1 species
UAAUGCGUAUGAGUUCGAGGGUGA